UAUGCUUUACACAUGCAAGUCGAGCCGCGAAAGUGACUUCGGUCACGAGUAGAGCGGCGGACGGGUGCGUAACACGUGGAUAAUCUGCCUUUAGGACUGGGAUAACUCAGGGAAACUUGGGCUAAUACCGGAUAAGACCACGGCUUCUACGGAAGCAGUGGUAAAAGGGGGCUCUCGGGCUUUCACCUAAAGAUGAGUCCGCGCACCAUCAGGUAGUUGGUGAGGUAAUGGCUCACCAAGCCUAAGACGGUUAGCCGACCUUAGCGGGUGAUCGGCCACACGGGGACUGAGACACGGCCCCGACUCCUACGGGAGGCAGCAGUGGGGAAUAUUGGACAAUGGGCGAAAGCCUGAUCCAGCAAUACCGCGUGAGGGAUGAAGGCCUUCGGGUCGUAAACCUCUGUCAGUUGGAACGAUGGGUUCUGUAGGUAAUAUCUGCAGAACUUGACGGUACCUUCAAAGGAAGCCCCGGCUAACUCCGUGCCAGCAGCCGCGGUAAU
rnacentral:rRNA from 1 species